GACGAACGCUGGCGGCGUGCCUAAUACAUGCAAGUUGAGCGCUGAAGGUUGGUACUUGUACCAACUGGAUGAGCAGCGAACGGGUGAGUAACGCGUGGGGAAUCUGCCUUUGAGCGGGGGACAACAUUUGGAAACGAAUGCUAAUACCGCAUAAAAACUUUAAACACAAGUUUUAAGUUUGAAAGAUGCAAUUGCAUCACUCAAAGAUGAUCCCGCGUUGUAUUAGCUAGUUGGUGAGGUAAAGGCUCACCAAGGCGAUGAUACAUAGCCGACCUGGGAGGGUGAUCGGCCACAUUGGGACUGGGACAAGGCCCAAACUCCUACGGGAGGCAGCAGUAGGGGAUCUUCGGCAAUGGACGAAAGUCUGACCGAGCAGCGCCGCGUGAGUGAAGAAGGUUGUCGGAUCGUAAAACUCUGUUGGUAGAGAAGAACGUUGGUGAGAGUGGAAAGCUCAUCAAGUGACGGUAACUACACAGAAAGGGACGGCUAACUACGUG
rnacentral:rRNA from 1 species